GAUGAACGCUAGCUACAGGCUUAACACAUGCAAGUCGAGGGGUAACGAGAGGAAAGCUUGCUUUCCUUGUCGACGACCGGCGCACGGGUGAGUAACGCGUAUCCAACCUGCCCCCAACUAAGGAAUAACCUUGCGAAAGUAAGACUAAUACCUUAUAAUUUCCUCAGAUGUCAUCUGACGAGGAAUAAAGAUUUAUCGGUUGUGGAUGGGGAUGCGUCUGAUUAGCUUGUUGGCGGGGUAACGGCCCACCAAGGCAACGAUCAGUAGGGGUUCUGAGAGGAAGGUCCCCCACAGUGGAACGGAGACACGGGCCAAACUCCUACGGGAGGCAGCAGUGGGGAAUAUUGGUCAAUGUGCGAAAGCCUGAACCAGCCAAGUAGCGUGCAGGAUGACGGCCCUAUGGGUUGUAAACUGCUUUUAUACAGGAAUAAAGUUAGCCACGUGUGGUUAUUUGUAGGUACUGUAUGAAUAAGGACCGGCUAAUUCCGUGCCAGCCGCCGCCGUAA
rnacentral:rRNA from 1 species